ensembl:misc_RNA 7SK 7SK RNA
AGGUAAUCUGGCUGUGAUAUCUGUCACCCCAUUGAUCACCAGGGUUGAUUCAGUGAUCUGACUGGCUUGGUGGACAUCCCCUUCCUCCCUUAUCGCUCCAUGGGCAUCCCUCUGGAAGCCACUUGCUCAGUUGAAGAGGAUGACCAUUUAGACAAAGGAGACCAUCUUUGGUUAAGGGUAUAUAAAUAGCUGCACUUUCCUGCUAGACUCUCCAAACAAGUUCUCAAUCUCACUUUCUUAACUGGAGUCCAUUACAUCAAGGCACAGAGCUUGUUUUUCCAAAAUUAAACCAGUUCAUCAAGGUAUUU